GGCUACACACGUGCUACAAUGGCGCAUACAGAGGGUAGCGAUCCGGUAACGGUAAGCCAAUCUCAAAAAGUGCGUCUCAGUUCGGAUUGUAGUCUGCAACUCGACUACAUGAAGCUGGAAUCGCUAGUAAUCGCGCAUCAGCAAUGGCGCGGUGAAUACGUUCCCGGACCUUGUACACACCGCCCGUCAAGCCAUGGGAGUUGGGAGGACCUGAAGGCGGUAACCGCAAGGAGCCGAUUAGGGUUAAACCAGCGACUGGGGCUAAGUCGAAACAAGGUAGCCGUACCGGAA
rnacentral:rRNA from 1 species